ensembl:lncRNA
UACCAAACCCACUUCAAUACCCUUACUGAGGCCAUGAGAGCCUGAGGGGCGUCUGCCCAGGAAAGGAGCCAUGGCAUGUGGCAGAGACCAAACAGGGACCAGGAAAAAGGGGUGAUGUCCCGUUUCCCCACCACCACCUCCAAGCUCUGUCAGCGCUGAGCUACCCUGAGCAGGGGCCAGGCACCUCACGCCUUGCACAGUAGCUGGUCUGGGUUGAAUGCAGUCCUGGGGGCCAGAGCACGACAUACCCGGCUGUGUCAGCUCAAAGGAUCUGUGCACAUCUUCAAGAGGUGAGGUAGGGAGAGGAGCACCAAUGAGUUUUUCCCCCCCAACCUUUUACAAAUGGCAUUUUGUUAAUGGAAAUCCGGGAACCAGGUGUGAUUACUUUUUUGCUCGUAGAUAUUGUCCUAAGUUGAAAUUCUCCCACUGCCCUAAACUUUCCCUAGUAGCCUUUUAAAUCCCCACCCCCCCCCCCCUUCUUUUUGGUAGCUGUUUUCUUCCACCCCCUUUCCACCUCCCCUCUUAUCUAGGAGCUGUUUUUAAGCACGAUUUUUUUUUAACAGUUUAUAUUGUACAGGAUCAAUAUUUUGCUUUUUAACAAGGAUAUUUAUGUAAUAAGAAACUUUGCCUUAGGCAGGUGUUGGCCAGAAAAGUCCAGAUUCCUCUGGGACCCCACCCUGGCCUCUCCUGGAGCUCUGAACCUGCUGUGGAAGGAAUUGGCUGUGACCUUCACCACUGGAGAGUAGGGUGGAAAAGGGGUGUUCUGAUGUUGACGGGAGAAGGAUUCACCAUGAUGCUCUAGUGCCUCUGUGGAGGGAUUUGGAAGAAGUACUCCAGUCCAGUUUCUUCGGAUGUAAGCUGACUUCCUUAGCCGAUUCUCCCCAUAUGCACCUCUCCACCUCAAUGUUCGGCACUAGAACUCUUGAAACACCACUUCUCAUAUGCCUCCCUCCCUCCCAGUGGUCAAGGCUUUGGAGCCACCCUUUCGUAACGCCAGAUUAUUUAAAGAGAGAAAAAUACAAGACAAAAACCUUCUAGCACUUUGUAAACACAGUGAAUAACCUCUUGGAGUAUUUUUGGCUUUAUAUAAAACAAGGUUUUUAAUUGUAAAAUAUAAGUGCCAUUAGAAAAUGCACAGGGCAUAUCUUUGUUAAAGUAGAUUUUUCAAUGUUUUACAGAAUUACAUUUUCAAAAAAAGUUUUUAUAAUGAAGUUGUUUAUUAAAAACUUCUGAAUGAUGUGUUUGGAAGUUGUGAACCUGUCUGAUUGGGAAAGGGGUGGAGAGAGCCUGGGGAAGAAUUGGAAUCUCCAGACAUCUUUACCAUCCAAGGGGAUGGUGA